CUGGCGUUUUCCCGUUUUGAAAAUGUUUUCGAGAUGGAAAUGGCAAGACACGCCCAUGAUACGUUUCGAGACUGUGUUUGGAAAAAUCAAAAGAUGGAAAAUCAGAAAUGCAUUUCCGAUGGCCGGAGAUGGCUUCUAGCUUAUGAUUAACAUUUGUUAAUUCUCCCCGUAAAACUCAUCGUGAAGCUGCCCAAAGCCACUAUUGAUCCCAUCUUUUCUUGUACCUAAGCUUGCUAGAUUGAUCAUCUACUUUGCCGGCAUCGUAAAGUGGUCUGAGUUUCGUCAGUGAUGUUCAUAGUGAGUAGGCGAGUUGAUGAGGAGAGAAAGACAUGAGAGAGAAGGGUGGUGCCAUAUACUUUUUUUGGUUUUUUAUUGGUCCUUAAUUUGUUUCUUUUUCUAAUUUCUUUUCUUUUUUUAUUUUCAAAACUUAAUAAAAUAUAAUUGAUUAUAAUUAAAUAACAAGUUCUAGAACAAUUGUCCUAUCUACUUG
rnacentral:misc_RNA from 1 species